rnacentral:rRNA from 1 species
GCGUUAAGUGGAAAAGGAUGUGGGAUUUCGAAGACAACCAGGAUGUUGGCUCAGAAGCAGCCAUACAUUCAAAGAGUGCGUAAUAGCUCACUGGUCGAGAGGUCCUGCGCCGAAAAUGUCCGGGGCUGAAACGCGCCACCGAAACUAAGGAAUCUGAAAAGAUUGGUAGAGGAGCAUUGCAUGCGGGAAGAAGCAGUACCGGAAGGAGCUGUGGACUGCAUGGAAGAGAGAAUGCCGGAAUGAGUAGCGAGAUAGAGGUGGGAAUCCUCUAGGCCGAAUAUCCAAGGUUUCCAGGGUAAAGCUGAUCUGCCCUGGGUGAGUCGGGACCUAAGGUGAGGGCGAGAGCCGUAGCCGAUGGACAACAGGUUGAUAUUCCUGUACUGCAGUAUGACAGAACUGUGGGGACACGUAAGGAGAGCGGGAGCCGGGAAUGGAAAGCCCGGUACAAGCGAGGUACCAGUAUGGUAGGAAAAUCCGCCAUGCAAUGGGAAGACGUGAUGUGGAGCGAAGAUUAGUAGCGAAGCCCGUGAGCCAUGCGUCAAGAAAAGCCGCUAUCGUUCAUAUUGUACCCGUACCGUAAACCGACACAGGUGGAUGAGGAGAGAAUCCUAAGGCCGGCGGAAGAAGUAUUGCCAAGGAACUCGGCAAAAUGGCCCCGUAACUUAGGGAGAAGGGGUGCCUGCGAGAGCAGGCCGCAGAGAAUAGGCUCAAGCAACUGUUUAGCAAAAACACAGGUCUAUGCGAAACCGAAAGGUGAGGUAUAUGGGCUGACGCCUGCCCGGUGCUGGAAGGUUAAGAGGAGAGGUUAGCGCAAGCGAAGCUUUGAAUUUAAGCCCCAGUAAACGGCGGCCGUAACUAUAACGGUCCUAAGGUAGCGAAAUUCCUUGUCGGGUAAGUUCCGACCCGCACGAAAGGCGUAAUGAUUUGAGCGCUGUCUCGGCAAUACAUCCGGUGAAAUUGAAGUGCCAGUGAAGAUGCUGGCUACCCGCGCCAGGACGGAAAGACCCCAUGGAGCUUUACUCCAGUUUGGCACUGGGGUCCGGUGUUGCAUGUACAGGAUAGGUGGGAGGCUGAGAAACGGUAACGUCAGUUGCCGCGGAGCCGCUGUUGGGAUACCACCCUUGUGAUAUUGGGCUUCUAACCAGCCGCCGUGAUCCGGCGGUGGGACAAUGCCAGGCGGGGAGUUUGACUGGGGCGGUCGCCUCCGAAAGGGUAUCGGAGGCGCCCAAAGGUUCCCUCAGAAUGGACGGAAACCAUUCGAAGAGUGCAAAGGCAGAAGGG